CCUUUUCAUUACACUUAUCACUUCACUUUCCAAAGGACAGGAAACUUUCUAAAAGUAAGCCAUGAGCUCCAUCUUUAUAGAACUUUUUGGUGAGAUAUCCACUUAUUUCACAUGUCUCUGGACAUGCUGUGUCAUGUUACAGUAACAGAAGAAAAAAAAAUGAGUCCUCUAGAGGGAGGCCUAUCACUCGUGUCUCUCCUGGUAUUGCCGAUCCUUCCGUGCCUGCCACAGGCAAAGGGUACUUUGAAUGACAGAGAAAUGGAAAGCUGUUCCUCAUCGGUUCCAGUUAAAGUCACUGUGGAAUAUCAAAAACAACAACCGCUGCAGCAAAUCAUGUACAAGUGA
rnacentral:lncRNA from 1 species